AGCCGGCCAGGCGGUCGCGUCGGCUGGGAGCCCGAUCAUAUCGGGGCCUGGCUGCCGAGGAACGUCCGGGCUCCGCAGGGCAGGGUGGUGGCUAACGGCCACCCGGGGUGACCCGCGGGACAGUGCCACAGAGAACAGACCGCCCGCUGCCCGUCACGGGGAGCGGGUAAGGGUGAAACGGCGGUGUAAGAGACCACCAGCGGCCCAGGUGACUGGGCCGGCUAGGCAAACCCCACCCGGAGCAAGACCAGGCAGUGCGCGUUCGAGGGCUGCCCGUCCGAGCGCACGGGUAGGUCGCUAGAGGUACCUGGUAACAGGUGCCCGAGAUGGAUGACCGCUCAACGACAGAACCCGGCGUACCGGCCGGCUCAU
rnacentral:RNase_P_RNA from 1 species